GUGAACGCUGGCGGUGCGCCUAACACAUGCAAGUCGAACGCUCUACGGUAGCAAUAUCGUAGAGAGUGGCGAACGGCUGCGUAACACGUUGGUACCUGCCCCGGACUCAGGGAUAACCCCGCGAAAGCGGGGCUAAUACCGGAUGGUCCCGCAAGGGUAAAGCUUUUGCGGUCCGGGAGGGGCCUGCGGCCUAUCAGCUUGUUGGUAAGGUAACGGCUUACCAAGGCUAUGACGGGUAGCUGGUCUGAGAGGACGACCAGCCAGAAUGGAACUGAGACACGGUCCAUACUCCUACGGGAGGCAGCAGUGAGGAAUCUUCCGCAAUGGGCGAAAGCCUGACGGAGCGACACCGCGUGGAGGAUGAAGCCCUUUCAGGGCGUAAACUCCUGUUCUGAGGGACGAAAUUUUUGACGGUACCUCAGGAGAAAGCAUCGGCUAACCCUGU
rnacentral:rRNA from 1 species